GCGAGAUCGUGACCUGAGCCGAAGUCGGACGCUCAACGGACUGAGCCCCCCAGGCGCCCCUUUUAAUGCCUAUUUUUAAAGCAUGUGUUCCUUAGCCUGGAAGCUCCAUAAGGAAAGAGAUUAGAGCUGUUUUCUUUAUCCCUGUAGUCUUAGCGCAAUGUCUGGGACAGAGUGGACUCAGUAAAUAUUUUUUGAACGAUUGAAUGAAUAAGGGGGUGAAUGAAUAAUACUUCAAAAGGAAACAAGAGGUAAAAAAAAAAAGUGCAUGUAUCUGUGAUCAUGUAUGAUCUAAUCUGCAGUGAGAUUCUGUUAGAGGCCAGGUAUGUCUUCAGCAAGAACUUAGUAGGUGGGCCUUAUAUACACAGUCAACUCUUCAUCUCUCUGAGAUUCAGUCUUAGGCCUGCCAUUCUGAGGAGCUGAGACACAGACCCAUGUGUUCCUUGGAAGUGCACGCAGAAGUGGACCAUUUCUGGGAACAGCAUGGCAGAUGAAGCAUGACAGGGACCUAAGAUCUUGGGAAGGAGCCAUGCCUAUAAAGCAGUUUGAGUUUAAUGUUUCUAUUUCUGUCUUAUUAUUUCUUUCAUCUGGGCUAAGCAUUUCAACUUUGUCUUAGUUAUGAAAGGGGGGCAUUUAAGGAGGAGUUAUAUACUCAGUCUCAGACCAGAGAGCCCAUGGUGGAACAGCCAACUUGGUGGCAACAGCCAUUAGUGAGGCAUGUUACAAGGAAGGUGGCUCUCAGGGGAUCAGAGUCCAGCUUUGUGGUCUUGCUGCCCUGUUCCAUUUUGAGAUUCUUUUCCCAUUGCUAACCUUGGAGAGUUUUGUUUUGUAUUUUUUAGAGGAGGAAGUUUAAUUGGGUGGUCUGACCAUGACUGAUUCCAAUUGCCUUGAACAAGUUUAUGUAUUAAUAUUUUCUGCCUACCAGGCCAAACCAGUGGCCUGGUCAGUAGAUGAAACCAGUCUGCCACUGUCAUUUAUAAGGAAUUAAGGGCUUACCACCUAUCACUUUCCUUAAGCCAAUACAGAUGAGGCAUAUGGCUUGAGAUGGUGUUACCAACAAUCAUCUUCUACUGCAUUUCCGUAUGAACUUCUGUGAGAGCAGUAUAUGUUGGAAUGGAAAGGUGUCUUACUCUAAACUUCAAAAGGAAGGAGAAUUGACAGAAUUGCCCUAGCAGACUGUCAUCCAAUAUGGCCAAGAUAUGGGGAAACAGAUACUGGAAUUCAGCCAUUGUAAAGCCGGGGUGGCAGGCCAUCUAUCUGCAAGAGAAAGCUUCCUUAAAGGUACCACCCAAAAUGAAAGACACAUCACACACCCCUGGAACUGGAUGACACAAGAAUAUGAUGGAAGCACUGAAAGUAAGGGAUUAUUAACUACAAGCUUUUGUUAUUCUGUAAUUUGGAUGGAGCAUUUGAGUUUAACGAGCAGUGCUUCCCUCAGAGUCUCUCUGGGUUAGAUUUACCCUCGGAUUGGUGAGAAGGCUGCAGACAAGACCCCAAACUACAAAAGAAAGAGACCAUCUCUCUCUAUGCGUCCUUAUACCAAAUUCUGUGGAACGGUUCUGCACUGCCCUUCUUGGGUAUGUGCUCACAUUGCUACAAAUACUUCUGGAUAACAGAGACCAGGCCAACCCUUGGACGGGAUGCUGGCAGUCAUAUGCAUGGUCACACCAAGGCCCAGCAAGGUGGAAUCAUAGAGAGUAAAGAGUUGUGAUCAGUCCUUCCUUCUGUAUAUCCCCUGGGACAUGUGUGUGCUUUAUCAGCAGUUACCACACUACUCAGUAAUUGUUUACAUCUUAUCUUCCUCAAAGGCUGUGAAUGCCCGUGGAAUCAGAACUUGGUCUUUGAUUCUGAUGUCUCAGGAUCUAGCCUAGUGCCUGAAAUGCAGUAGAAAUUCGAUCAGUGUUUAUUGGUUGAAUGAAUAUAAUAUAAUGCUGUGGUUUGCAAUGCUCUGGUUAAAAAAACAAGCACUCUCCAGGGGUCUGGCAUGCACAGCAAUAGUAAGAGCUACCACUUAGAUGCCACUGUAUAAUUUACAAAGUAAACGAUAACUACUUUGCCGAAAAAUGUUAUAUGUGCAUCUCAUUUAAACCUAAAUGCAAUGAAAAUGUAUGUGCUGCUUCUUAUAAGCUUUGCACUUAGCUGGGUGCAGAGGAGGGUGAGGGAGGUUCCAGAAGCAGAGGAUGAAAUCUGUAACAGAGUUUAGUCUUAUGGAGAGGGAAGAUAACAAAGUCAAUUUAGCAAACUUCUCUGAGACAGUAUGCGGUAAAUUGAUCUUCAGGGGCUCCCUGGCGAGGGUCCAGUGUCUGAUCACGGGCCAGGGAGGAAGCUGGAGAUAUAAUCGGAGCAGGGUUAGAAGAGUAACAAGGAGAUCAGCUAAAAAACAUGACGUGUGUGGCAAGGUUAUGACUCAGGUGGGAGAACAGAAGGCCCAGAGGAAAUGGAAUCGUUUUCUUCAGGACAAAGAAGGGCUCCCUUGCUGGGGGAUGGUGACCAGCUGUCCUUCUUUGCCUCUGCAUUCAGAGCAAGGGGAAAUGGGCUUAGACCGAAGGCAGGGCUAAGAUUAGAGAGAAGAAAGAACUUGGCAGUGAGGGAUGUUGUAUAACCUAGUUUUCGAGACACUUGGGGACUGAGGAGACUCCCACACUCCUGGUCUGGGCCCAGUGGACGUGUAUUUGGGGAUGGUCUGGCAUGCU